GUGGGAGCGGAGCCAGAGGCAGCGGGACGCAGAGAUCCGCCAACUGCUGCAGGCAAAGGAGGCCCAGCUCCGCCAGAUGCAGGAGCGGCUGCAGAAGCAGCGCAACGACACCAUACGCCAGGCAUGGCAUCUGCAGCGGCAGCUGGUAGAGGAGCUGCUGAAAGGUGGCAGCAGCCGCAGGGAGCGCGGAAUACAUCAAGAAGUCCAGCGGCAGCUCUGCUGGAAGCCCCGUGGAGAGCAGGCUGCCCACGUGCUGCGCCUCCAACGUGAACUGCAGGAGCAAAGGAGAGGCUUCCUGCAGUACAUCCUGCAGCACGGUGAGGGGCAGCCGCCCGUCUCCUGCAACGGGGCCCGGGCCUGCCAUCGGGCUGUGGCAGAGGUGGGUGUUCAGGCUGAAGAGCAACAAGAACCCUGCCCACCUGAGCGCAUGGAGCUGCAGGAGCAGAACGCCCAUCUGCUCAGGGUGCUGAAGGAUCUACAGAGACAAGGCAGACUCCUUGGAAAGGAGAACUGCCUGCUGAGCAACAAAAGCUCUCAGCAGAUGAGGGAAGAGGUGGAGUGGAU
ensembl:lncRNA